GAAGUCAAGAAGAGAGCGAGCUGAUCAAGACGAAAGACCAUCCAAGGAGUGAAGAUCUUGUAGGAGAAUCAGAAGCUAAGGUCUGCAGUUAGACACCAUCAAGCUUAAGGUAAGGUUCACAUUCACAGCUUAGAGCGAUUUUGCUUCAAUAGAACUAAAAUCAUAGAACACCUUCCAUUAGAGAUUGAUGUCUUUACUUAGCUAUCACUACUGGCACAGCAUGUCAAAAAUAGGAUAAGGUAAUGUAUUUUCCCAAGAACGUAGAUGUGCUAGUUGUUUCACAGUGCAAGAGCUAAUAUCCUUUUUAUUAAUUGCAAGCAUGCACAAUAAUGCUGGAACUUAGGCUAAAGAAGAAGCACGAGUAACUUGCACAUGGAGCAACGCUCAGGUUGUAGCUGUAGAAUACACAGUGAGCUAACUGAAACUGAGAAGGGAGAUGAAUGAUAGGAACACUCACUGUCAGAGUCUAGAAGUUGAUGCCACAGCCUGAGAUGAAGCACGGCUUGCUCCUGCAACACGCAAUGGGCCUUGGUUCCCAUCACAGCACCACAGCUCGCCGGCCACAGCACCAUGGCCGGUUCGCCGUCGGCGGCCCAUCCUGCACAAGCCGCUAGGGUGAGGUGACAAUUACAAGAGAGGAAGAAAUCGAAGGGGAAAAAUGGAUAAAUAGCAUCCAGAACCCUUGUAGACUUGAGUUGGAGUAGUAAUCGUCCAAGAACUUACAGCCAUGGCUGUGGAUUUGAGGGCAGUAGCUUGAGAACUGUAGGCGCAGGGAGAGGGGAAUGGGGAAAAGAAACAGAGGAAAGAUAGGCCAAAGAGCUGACAUAUGGGCACGUCCUUGAGUGGUCUUCUAACAAAAGGAAAUGGUGCUUUGACAAGGAUGUUAGCCUGUAACAGAACUUGAUUAAAUAUAUUAAUCCAACUUAAGACUUCUAGCUGCAUAUAAACUAGGAUGGCAGGCGCGCUACGCCGCGCCCGUAUACUGCAGCGCUGCACGCCUAUGCUUGUCUAACUCUAUCUCGAAGCAAUAUAAGCUGCAUAGCAAAAGAGAAGUAGGCAGCAAUGAUCAGUGGACAACUUCAAUUUGAGCUGAACACAAAUGUGGUAGUUUUUUCGCUCAUAUGCAGUCAAACUUAAAUCUUAAUAGAUGGCCAUGUUGUAAUCGAAGAAAAUAAUGCAAAUGAUCAUUUCCUCUUACAGUUGUACAUUAGUGAUUUCAUCUGAAGCAAAAAAGGAAAUGAUCUGUGACAAACUAUAUCAAAGUAGAAACUUUAUGACCUCUGAUCAGCAACCCACGCAACAUAUAGAUCAAAAACAGCAAGGAAUGUGAUAGUUUCUUGUGAGAUAUUCGGAGUAAGAAUUUUAACACUCUGUAGUAACAACAUAUUAGAACCGACUACAAACCUUAACAUUUUGUGGAAAUUUAUCACAAUAUAAAAAAGAUAGUCAUCUAAAUUUGUCCAAUUGAAACCUGGGACGAUCGUGAGGUACCUUUAAUGAACUUGCAACACUGCACAGAGAAACUUCACAUAUACACAACUAAUGGAACUGAAUUAAGUAAGCAAGAAUCCAACUACUGUCAGAUAAACUCUACUGCAGUAGGCUAAUGUCAGACUCCCAACACAAAACAAUGGAAAUAAAUCUGUUUGAACAAUACAUGACUGAGAAUUUGCACGUGUGCACUGUGAUUUGGCAAUGUGAUACGUGGCUUCAAUCACAUAGUAACACAGUGGUAACACGAACUUGUAAUGGAAAACUGAAGAUGGAAAGGUAAACCGGUAUGGGCGUGGUGCAGACUAUUCACCGUUAUUGCUGAAAACUACAAAAAUUAAAUAAUAAUCAUAUAACACUUCAACUGUCAAUCUAUGUGGAAUUUCAACCUUGCCAAACUAUACAAAUCCAUGAAGGCCAUAUCCUUCAGAAUUCCGACCUUUCCAAUGACAUGAAACUGAAAUUCUUAACAAAAGAAAAUAGAGUUCACUCGUGUGUUUCUUUGACCAUGUCCAGGAACGUAGCCGCAUGAACUAAAUCCACUUUUGCAGGCGCUGGAAUGGCCAUAUGCACUGCAUAACUUGCAAGAAACAUAACGUAGCUCAUGAAGAAACAGAGCUAUCUGCUCUGUAAUGUACUGAAAAGCAACCGAGAUGACCAACAUUUAGGCAUACUUUCAGGCUCCACUCAAAAGGCACACAUAUGUUUUGUAAUACAAAGCAAAACCUGAAGUCCUGAACUAUAAAUACAAUGUGAACGAAGCAAAAAAGUAAACUUGUAAAGGAAACACUAAGUAUCUGUAAAGUUUAAAGCAAUCAAUUUGACUGCACCUAACUAAAUGUAAUGUAGCAGUGUAGCACUGAAUAAUGAUAAUAGGACAGAGAGAAAUUCCAGUGUGGGAUAGACGAUCGAUUUCCAUUCCAAUUCAGUGCAGCACCCAGCUCCAAUCAGCAUUGCCACAUCGUGAUUCAGGUUUUGACAUAAUAAUUAAAAGGCAACUAAAUUGGUGACCAUGUAAUACUGACAUCCAGGUUUUAGUGGCAUGUAAACUAAUAAAUCAUAACUACAGUAGCUUCUUCUCACCGUUGACAGAUGCAAAUGAGCUCCCAGAACCAGAGAGCAUUCCCAGAUCCAAACAGCACAUAACCAUCUUCACUACAGCAAGGAAUUUGCGGUAUAAAUUAGCAUAUUGAAAUGAAGCUGCUGAGAUGAUUGCGCGCGUCACAAUGAACAAAGUAGCACGUAGAUGUAGCCACAUCUGAGUUUUUCCGAACACUGAGAAGAGAUAGAACUAAAGGGGAACAAAAGAUUGUGUCGAGCAAAUGGAUUCGGAUAAUAACUGGAAAAAUGAGACCGGCGGCAGCAGCAUAGCUGAGAAGCAUGAGGCCAGAGAGUGGGAAAGAACACCGUCGAUGCGUAGAUGGCGACGCCUGAUUCGGCAGUGGAAAUGCCUGCCGAUUCAGAAGGAAGGGACCGGUCACCGGAGCGGCGCACUGUCCACCUGCUCGCCUGAUGGCCCACAACCAACACAACUCCGGCAUCGCCCGGACAUGGACGCACACGGAAGGGAGGUAGGACCUGAGGAAAGGCACGACGGGCAAGCGCGGCGCCGCGCUCGGCGAACUCGGGCGCCCUGCGGCGGGCUUCACAAGUGAGGACGCCGACGGACCUGCAGCACCCAUUCGAAGGAGGACGGCAGCGGCGCAACGACGUGCGGAGGAGGCGACAAUUGACCAGCUCCCGUCCGGCAUCGCGAUGCCCCACAUGGCCGCUGCCGCCAUGAGCAGUUGAGGCAGUCCUCCUCAGCUUGUGGCCACCCACUGCGCCAGCAGCUCCGUCUGCCCAUCCGCCUCCCCGGAACUCUACCCGCCGCCAAGCCCUUUUUGCACGGGCUUGGAUCCCACCGGUGGACAGAAAGCGGCGAGCAGCGGCGACGUCGAGGGUUUUUUUUUCCUUGCAAAUGAGGAGGGCGAGGAGGACGAAGCGUUGUGUCGUGUCGCCGAUUUGGUGGAGAUGCAAGGACGACUCUCCUGGUUAUGGACUUAUGGACACGCGGCGAGCAAGUGGCGUGGCUGACUGCUUGAUUCUGUUGCUGCGCGUCAAGCACACGCGAUGAGCAGCCACGUUAAUGCGCGACACGCAGUAUGAUCUCAUUGGGUGGACACGCGGCGUGACGCAACAGGCGGGAGCGGCGGAGAGGCUCCGGAGCCAGCGAUCCUUACAGCGAUAUAUCUCUACUUAGGGCAGCUGCCGUCUGUAAGUCAUAUAUAGACAGUGAUGGCUGCCGUCUGUAAGUUAUAUAUAGAUAGUGAAACCGACAGCUUAUACAAUGAUGUGUCUUUUAAGUUGUCUGCAAGUUAUUUAAUUCAUUCAAAUCAAGGUGAUUAGGUAUAAAUAUGAUCUAUGUAUGCCAUUUUGUUGCUUGUUCACUCAAUGCAAUGCAUGCUACCUCAUAUUAUGGACACAUGAAUUUGACAUAGAAAUAUAAAUAUAAUAUAUAUUUAUAAUAAUUGAUCUUUGCAAUACAUAAUAUGAUAAUAUAAUAAAGACUCAAUAUAUUAGUCAUAAAGACUCAAUAGAUUACCCGUGUAGGUCUAGUUUUCCUUGCGGUCAUAACGCUGCCAAAUAUGCUCAACCAAAUCGUUCUUGAGCUGCUUGUGUGUAGAGCGACCACGGAUAACCUUGUUUCUCCGAAGUACCUCUACGAAGCAUGGGUUAGGAUCAUCACUUGUCCUCACUUCGGUGGUAGCACAAUUGUUGCACUCGGAUUGUCAUUCAAAUCCAAUGGAAUUUUGACCAAUUCCUUCUCAUCUUCAACUAUCAUAUUAUGGAGGAUAAUACAAGCUUGCAUGAUGUUAACAACAUCAUCCCGUUUCCAUAACCGUGCCAGACGUUUAACAAUAUCAAAACGAGAUUGUAAGACACCAAAUGCGCACUCGACAUCCUUCCUUGCCCCUUCUUGAUGUUGUGCAUAUAAUUUGUGCUUCUCCGUUUGAGGUUUUGAUAUUGUCUUCACAAAGGCAGCCCACUCUGGAUAAAUCCCGUCAGCAAGAUAGUAUCCUGUGUCAUAUUGCGUUCCAUUUACAAUAUAUUGUACUCUAGGGGCUUCUCCUUUUAUCACCUCAAUGAAUAGCAGUAUCUUAUUCAGCACAUUGAUAUCAUUAUAGGCCCUAGCAGUACCAAAAAAUGCAUGCCAUAUGCGAAGAUCUCGUGAUGCAACUGCUUCAAGGAUCAUAGUAGGAACACGUUUAUCACCACGAGUAAACAUGCCGGCCCAACCUUUAGGACAAUUCUUCCACGUCCAGUGCAUACAGUCAAUGCUUCCUAUCAUACCUGGAAAACCACGGGACUCAUUAUCUUGUAGAAUUUUUUCAAGUUCAUCACUUCUCGGAGGGCGCAUGUACUCCGCACCAAAGCACUCUAUCACUCCUUGGGAAAAUUUUCCUAAGCACAAUAAAGAUGUGCUUGCUGCAAUCUUCAAUACCUCAUCAAGUUGGUCAGCCGGUGAGCCAUAUGCUAGCAUUCGAAUAGCUGUAGUACACUUUUGAAGGGGUGAGUGUCCAUCUCUACCGGUUGCAUCCACUCUUCGGGUGAAAAAAGGAUCCCAAUUACUAAGCUCUGACACAAUUCGGAGGAAUAAAGGUUUCGACAUCCGGAAUCUCCUACGGAACAUUUCGUCGGUGUAGAUAGGAUUUGCAAAGAAAUAAUUUGCAACAAGAUCGUCGUGACCAGCUUCUCGAUUACGUGGUAUGUACCUUCUCGGCUCACUUUGGCGACGGCGACGGCGAGGUGGUUCAGAUGAUUCCCCUUGAAACUUAGCCUUAAUCUUGUCGCUGAUUUUCCUCCGAAAUUCUUCUAAUCUUGCGUCCUCAGCAAUGACAUCUUCAAGCGUAUAUACCUCCACUAGAUCAAAAUCUUCUUCGAUGACUUCAUGUUCAGCGGACAGGCCCUCAUCAUCAUCUUCAAUAGCUUCAUCAGGUGCUUCAUCACCGGGCAGGGCUUCAUAUUCCAGUUCUUCAUCAGUGGAUUGAGUUGACAUUGAUAGGAACGUGGAGAAAAGAAGCAUCUAUGCAUAGUGCCACCGAUGGCCAUGUAUUUAUACUGGAAUAUGUUACACAUUUCACAAUUGAAGCACAGGUUCACACCUAAAUUACAGAUAUCACACCUCAAGCAAUAUGUUGGGUUCACACCUAAGUUACAGAUUUCACACCUCAAGCAAUAUGUUGGGUUCACACCUAAGUUACGGAUUUCACACCUCAAGCACAGGUUCACACUGAUGGGCAAGUAAUAUGUUACUAUCUGAUUAGUGAAACGCCAAGACCACAACAAGUGUUCAGUUCACUAGAAAUAAAUCACAGCAAGUAGUAUGUUACUAUCCGAUUAGUGCAACUGCCAUUCAGUUUUCCAUAGAUUAGAGCCAUCUAAAUUUUCCCUUCGAAGCAUCUCAUGACAGGAUGCACAAUGACAGGCAUCUCAUGAUUCAUGAACAAGAACCAUAACCAUAUAUGUUUAAUAGCUUGGCCACCUUAUCUCAGAUAUCAACAAUAAACCUGUGUAGCUGCUCAUCUCAUCUCAAUGCUAACAGGAACUCAUCUCCAUAAUCUAAUACAAGUAAAAAAGCAAACAUAAAUCAGUACUGCAUGCAGAUGAAGGGCAUUCAAGAGAUAAGGGCACAACACUUUAUGCUAGUUGUAAAAUACAUGUAGUUGUAAAAUACAUGUUGAUGCAUAGUCUAGAGACUGCAGAUUGGUUGUUCAUAUUAGAAAUGGAUGGCAUGUCCUGCAUCUCAAUUCGUUUGUAUCUUUUAGUUAGUCAUAAAUUAGCAUGUUUAUCCUGUUUUCCUUACUGAAAAUACAGUUAACUUGUUAAUACCAUGAACCGUAUACUUCUGGACCUGAAUAUUGUAAAUCUUUACUACCUAGUUGUGAGAAAUUGGAGCUAGAACUGGUCUGGACCUGAAAUUGUUAAUCUUAUUACAGGCUCUGCUAUCACUAGACCCAUCAACAAGGUAAAGUGAUGAUCUCGAUCAAGUGAUCAUUUAUUAUCAGAAAGAUAAUUUAGGUUCCCCUUGGGGAUUAAAUAAUUUAGAUUACCUGGAUCACCUCCCUGAGUUUCGGUAGCCGCAUUUUCGUGCUUAUCUCCAUCUCCAGCAGCUGGGCAUCGUGAGCCUUCUUUCCUGCGAGCCUUCUUAUCUGCAGCUGCUUUGGCCGCAGAGGCAGUCUGCAAGGCGAGCGACCCGUCGGCCCCCGCGCGCUGCAACUCUCCGAAGGGCUCGUCGGCCAGCACGCGCUCUAGCUCCCGCUCCCGCUCCGUAUCCUCGUCAUCGCUCCCUGACUUGGACUCCGACCCUGACGAUGAGGAGACCGCAACCUCACCGGCAAUGGCGGCGCGGCCAUGGUGCGAGGGGGGAUCAGCUGCUGUCCGCGCGGGAGGUCGAUUCGGCGCCUGCGGAGCUCGAGUCGACAGCGGCGGAGGUCGAUUCAGCACCUGCGGAGGUCGAAUCAACGACGGCGGAGAUGCUCCUGUCAGAGUUUGCUCGAAGCGUGGGGAAAGCGACGACGCGGGGAGAGGAGGAGGAGAUGGAUUUGGCGCGGAAAAAUCCCACGCGCGCCCAAUUGCUGUCCGCGCGGGAUCCGCGUGCGGUCGAUGGAGACGAGGGACGUACAACGCUGCUGAACCGUCUCUACCCGCCUCGGAGCACGGGACGUCGCCGUCGUCUCGCGAGGCGACGGCGCGCCCGUCGCCUCGGCGAGAGAAGGUCUUUUUUGCAAAAGUGUCGGCUUGCAGACGGCUCGCAACAGCCUGUUGUACGUGCCCUUAUUAUAUUAGUACUUGACCUCAAAUCCAAUAAUUCUAGGUUGACCAAAUGCCACACAAAUAUAACUGUGCACAGUAUAGAAAUUUUGCAGUAAUGUAAUUAAGCUCUUUUAUACCUGUUAAUUUACAAAAACAUGGAAAGCAUGGAGACAAGCAUUUAAGAGAUGAACUUUUCUUGGGAGCUCGGGCAAGUUAGGUAGAUAUAAUGAUUUCUUUUUGAAAAGAUAAUCCUUUUUAAACAUUGCAUCAAAAACUAUUUUCUAAAGUAAACCUAAUGAGACGAUGGUUUGGGAUGGAUAAGGUGUAUGGAUGAUAAUUGAACAUGGUGUGUAGGGAGGGUCCAUGAAAUGUGAUGAUGAAUUAGGGAUGGGUCGGACUCUCUCUACAUAUCUAAACUUAAGGAUUAAACCUCUCUCACUCAUCUUGUGUGCCGUAUCUUAUCAUGCCGACCAUGGGUUUGUUUGAAACAAGUCGAGUCCAGUACCCAUCAAGUUCUUAUACACUUCCUAUAGGAGAGGUUUGGGCUAUGCUCAUUUAGGUGAUGAUGAAGUGCACCCAAGCGCAUAUAUUAGCUCACGUGGUUAAGAUGUGGAUGUAUAAUAUACGAAAGUGGGGAAGUUUGGUAUUUUGACCAUGAGUCGCAUCAAGGAAAUGCGAUGGCAAAUUGGUUGGGGGUGACCAUGGGUAAAGUGACACAAACCUGCACAGGGUUAAAUCGUGAUUCACGUCAUGUCUCCUAGUAUGGAGGCUACGGGAGGCUAUGGGAGCCUACAGGAGGUUCUAUUAGUAUGGGUGAAUAGUAGAUUUGUUAAUAACUCUUUCUAAAAUAUGCCAUUUUUUAUAAAUGAUUUAUAUUGAAGGAUGGAGAUGACAAAUGAUUUAGACAUGUAUUUCAUUCGAUUUAUUACGUACUUGCUGAGUACUUUGUACUCACUCUUGCUAUUAACCCUCCCCCUUCAAAUAAAAAAGGAGACGACAGACGAUGGUCUUAUUGCAGAACAAACGAUGUACAUAAAAAGGUGCCAAGUCAAGAAUGCAUGACAAAUACUACAUAUGUAAAUUUGAUAUAAAGUUGUUAUUUUAUUUCUUUUAAGUAAUAUUAGUUAGCUCUUUUAUGUUGAAAUGUAAUGAAUAAUGUAAAGUCCUAACUAUUGUUCUGCUGCAUCACUCUGAUUAGGGUCAUUAUUCGAGAAAGCGUUGCUUUGGUAGUGAAAAUGCGGGGCGUUAUAUUUCCCUGCAAAGGAGCUCCUCAUUGAGUCCUCUACUAUUAGCCUAUUAGCCGCUUCUACAUCAAGCCUUGGAUUCGCUUCAAAUCAGAUUCUAGAAAGACGGAAACUAAGAAAUUUGUAAUAGACCCAAGGCCUUCAAAAACAACGAGAUUUGGCUAAGCAAAAACACAACAUAAUUCAUGGGCCUUAGAUUGUUGUUCUUUCAGAUUGCUGGUGUGGGCUUUUUUAAAGGAUGCAUGGGCCCAAUCGGAAGCCACUUCAGCUUUCCACAGGUUUUCGUUUUUGGGCUGGGCUUAGACAACAAGAGUAUCUGCGACUCUGCGAGGUAGCGGAGGGAUAUCAAUAUCAUGGAACCAUUUAGAUUAGUCCCACAUCGCUUGCUUUGCACGAGCAGGGUCACCGUGGGCGCGUUUGGAAGCCUGUGUAGCUUCAGUCGGGCUCGUGAGCUAGGCUCCAACCAGACGGGCUGGGUUUAUAGGGUGCAAAGAUAUUGAUUGGCAAAUCUUGCACCCCAUGGUGUUAGCUGGAUUGAGAUUGUAUUUGUUAUAGUGGACCGGCAGUGAGCCCCCAUAACUAACCUAAACUGCCAUCUAGAGAUGGUGUUUGGUAGCUUGGACAGGGGAGAGAUUCCCUCAUCACAAGCAGGUGCUUGUGAAGGUUACCCCAUACCUAGGCGCCUAGAAAUGCAUAGAUAAAAGGAAGGAUACUGAAAUUGAAUUAAAUAACAAGUACUUAGGAAGGUCAACAAUAUAAUCGUGAUCCCAAUUUACAGAGGAAUAAAAUUACAUUGAGUUCAUAAGGUAAUUAGCAACCUAGUUAACAUAAUUAUGACAUUACUUGCAUAACAUUGGCAAGUAAAAUGCAGCAGGAACAUGGUACUAAGGACACUAACCACUUGGAAAAGUCAAGAUAGAUGAAGAUAGCAAAGAGAACCACAGUUCAAGCAAACUUGGAUGUCUACCAAACCAUGAAUCUACAAUAUGAAUAAUUAACGGGUCAGGUUUGAGCAACAAAAGGUAACCAAAAUAACAAAUUGCAUGAAACCAAGUCAGCAUCACCUGAAAAUGGCUCAAGCUAUCAAUAAUCAUAAAAAAUAGAGAAAUUCCCAUGUGCCUUAGCAGCCGGCAAUAUCUCCAAGCAUCAUUGCCACCAAGCAAAACCAUGAACAUGAGGAACAUAAACAACCACAAGUUAGGGAAAGCAGGUAAGAGUGAACAAAAGCCUCAGACAUAACUUAUUAGGUCAGUCAUCAUCGGCAAAGAACUGAUGCAUGGCUCAGAUUUGUAGUACUUGCCUAACAACUAGGACACUGGCAGGAGUUGCCUCCUAGUGAGGCAGUCAGAGGAACCCCUGAUUGAUCACUAGGAGCUAACACCUGUAAAGGUCCUUAAGGGUGCGUUUGGUAGCUGUUGUGACUCAUGAGUAUUGUCAUCAUCAUUGCCAUCCAAGAAAUCAUGAAUUUUGUUAAGAAAAUGAACAAGGCAGUAGCAUAAUACAGAAGUGGGUUGUUUUUUUAGGCUCAGCUCAGGUGCAGAUGCACGCGCCAAGAAGCUACCUAAUAGUGAGGCAACCGAGGCAAGGUAUACCUCGUUUGCCUUAGUAUGUAGGCAGCAUCUUGUGGCAUACAUGCUACCACCUUUACAUCAUUGCCAUUAUGAAGAUGGACGCAUCAGAGAGGGUUGCUUAUAUCGUACCGAGAGGUCGUACUCGCCAAGCUCGAGUGGAUGUUGGUCAAGUUACCGUAAGGCAACAUGAGCAAGGUCCACAUCAAGCUUGGGGAAUAACCCCCUAGCUCAGCACUCGUAAGCUAGCCUAUCAUCAUCCGCACACAUAAAAAAGAUAGGCAAAGCAAGUGGCAAAAAAAUUGGAGCCUCACCGUACUGAAAGCAGUUGCCUCACAAGUCUGACAUCCUUCCUUGAACACUUGGAUUGAAAACUGCAUUUCGAUCAUCAAAAACCAAAAGGUCAGAUCAAGAAUUUGCUAGGUCAGAGCACAAAUAAGUAAGCUCAUCAUUCCCAAAUAAGCAAGCAUAAUAGAACAACUGCUACCAUGAUAUUGCCUCAGUACAAAUGUAUCACAGGCAGAGAAACAAGUAUGAAGGGCCUCAGAUUAUCAGUUAAAUCUCCACAAAGUCCAUACAGACAGGUGGACUCCAAAGUGGUAGCAGAAGAGUAGAAACAAAGAGUAAGAACAGAGGCAAUAAAGCUAAAAGACAUCAAACAAAGAACAACAUAUACAAGAACCAUAAGCAAAGUGCCACUUCAUCAUUGCCCUACCUAGUAGUAAUCAUCACAGGUCAAAGAAAGAGGGAACAAGUUCAAUAGAAGGAACAUGAUCACAAGUUAAAUAGUAAAAUAAAAAAUAUAACCAACAGGUGAGCAUGCCAACAAGCAAGGUAAAUAAGAGCAUGAACAUGCCACCAAGAUGAAUAGUAAAUUAAACAGCAACAGUAAGAUGUCAACAUGGCAACAAAUAGGUUAAGAACAUGCAAAAAGCUCAAAUAGCAAAGUAAAACAUAUUAGUAAAAUGUCAAGACGGAAAAUUACUAAAGUAAAGCUAACAGGCAUCUGAUGUAAACAUGCAUACAUGGCAUCACAUCACAAGUAUCACAGGUAUAUAGCAGUACAAGAUCCAUCAUAUUACAGUACUUACCAUGCAGUUCCUUAGCAAAUAUUUAGUUCCAAUAUUCUUAACCUUGCCAUGCUGCUAUAGAAAUUAAUUAGUAAUUAGCUGCCCCCCAUGUGAAAUAAAAACCAACACAAAAGGCCAGGUGCAAGUGAGGCUACACCCUAACAGGUCAGACCUAUGUAUAUAGAGAUCUGUGCAAAAGAAGGGAGUGGCUAGGGUUGGAGACAUGCUCAACUGUUUUCCCUGAGCUAGAAGGCAGUAGCAGCUACUACAUCACAUGUAGUAGUGCUUGCUUAGCCAGGUCCUGAGCCAGAGGGUGCGAUGGUUCUCACCCAUCUUCAUAAAGGCAUUGCCCUGUGACUUGUUGUCCAAGAAGUGACUAAAAGCAACGAUGAAGGCCUCCUCAGAGAAGCUAGGGAUCAACAUCAUAGCAUUGUAGAGGUCAGGGUGCACCUGCUUAGGGCCCAGUCUCCCUUAGUGCAGUAGCCACAUUGUUUACAGUAUUUGUCAUGUUGGUAAGGACAAGUACCUCCUUCUCAGACAUGGCAGCCCUCUUCCUCUUAUUCCCAGCACAGCAUCCAGGGGCCUUUGAACCCUCACCAGAGCCAGCAGGCUUGGUGACCGUCUUUUCGUCCACCUGCUGCUCAGUCGAAUUCAAGUCAACUAGCUGAUGCUUGUCCACCUUCUUUUCUGUUGUCUCCCCAAACCCAAAAAACACGCCUAGCGCCUCUCCGGAACCCAUGGCUCAGCGGCCUAUUGCCAUGCCCCCUCCAAAGAUGAUCUCCAUCUGCGCGUAGUGCUCAAUGGGCUUGUUCAGCAACUCAGCAUCCUUGGGAUGAUCCUGCAAACCAAAAUACCAACAACAACAACUUAAGUUAGUACUUACCAAAGGGAAAUGAAAGCGGUUAAUGAAAAAUAAACAGAAACCAUAAUAAAUCACUCACCUUGCAAUGUCCCAGGUUGUGCUCCUGCUCAAGAGUGAUGCUGCACGUGUCACCAUCCUAGAGAGCACCACUGAGGUCCCUGAGCUUGCACACCCUACCCCACCUCUGCCUCCACUUACGCAGGUGGUUGUACACCUGAGUGGCGGUGACAUACUUCCCAGUCCAUUCCCACAGUGCCUUGGCCACCUUGUUCACAUGCACAUCCUUUAAGCCCUUCUCAGGCCGCACACCAGUGCCAAUGAGCUCACACAUGCGACGUAGCACAAACCCGGAGGUGGUAGUGGUCCACCUCAUAGGAGGGUGAGGCACACCACCAGCAACUCCACCACCCUGUCCCUGACCACCACCACUAGCAGCACCACCCACAAGUUCCGCAGGACCACCACCCCAAGAGCCUGAGCAACAGCAACACCCACACCAGCCACAGCACCAACACCACGACCAGGCAGACCCAGGCCCGAGGCAGCAGGAACAACACCUUGACCAACAAGUAGGUGACCAGCACUAGCAAACCCAGCAGCAGCAGAACCAAAGAACACGUUCUUCUCAGCCAUUGGCCUAGAUAACCAAUAGUAUAGAUUGCACCACAAACCAUUAAGUACCAGACAUAUUAUAGGUUAGGUCAUUGCAUCCCUUGUGUCCCCAGAGUAAUAGCAAUUUAAUAGGCAGCAGGGAAAAUAUCAAAGUAACUAGAAGGUGAUGAAAACAAAAUAGCAACAACAGAUACGCAGAAACAAACAGAAUUUAAACAACAAUAGAUGCAGGAAGAAAGCAAAUUAAAUUAAGUACAGUUGAGGUCUCAGCAAGUUCCAGCCAGCAUCACAUCACUGCCACACCACCAUUAUUUCUUAUAGUUCCACUAAAGCACACAAGAUACUACAUCCUAGAAGACCCCUUGUUCUGCCACAUAGCUAAAGCCCACUCAUUCCUCUUAGCACCCCAGGCCCUAGCUUCCUGUGACAUGGCUUGUUCUGCCACAUAGCUAAAGCCCACUCAUUCCUCUUAGCACCCCAGGUCCUAGCUUCCUGUGACAUGGCUUGUUCUGCCACAUAGCUAAAGCCCACUUAUUCCUCUUAGCACCCCAGGCCCUAGCUUCCUGUGACAUGGCUGCAUGAGUGGGUGCAAGCUGUGUUUCUGAGGGUGGUGGGGAGAAAUCCUCCACUAGGAUAACUUCAUCUACCCUAAGCCCUAAGAUCCAGUUAUGCAGAAUAUAACAAACAAUGUAUGGAUGGUAUGGCUUAUUGUCUAGCAUUCGAAACCUACCCUUAAGAGCUCCAAAUGCCCUCUCAACUGUUGUCCGAAGGGACGAGUGCCUUAGGUUGAAUAGUUCCUUAGCAUUAAUAGGGGUUCUCUUACCCUCGAACUCUGACAUGUGGUACCUAACAGCCCGAUACGGAGGAAGGAAUCCAGGUCGCAAAGAGUAGCCAGCAUCAGCAAGGUAGAAUUUCCCUACACAUGAAUGGAUUUACGGUACAUGAGCUACCUAGUGGAACAAAAUAAAAUAACUUGUGCCUGUAACAAGCUGGGUGGGCAAUAUACCUUGUGGCACCCUCAACCCAUCAUCCCGCUCUAGCACAUCAGCUAAGACCAACGCAUCGUGUGCUGAUCCUUCCCACCCAGCAAGGAUAUAGGUGAACCUCAUAUCGAAAUGAACAGCAACUAGCACAUUCUGUGUUGUGCUGCUCUUACAGUCUCUAAAAGCAGCCUGCAUCUUAAAUGGCACUCUAGUAAGAAUAUGGGUGCCAUCAAUAGCUCCAAUACAGUCCUAAGAGAAUUAACAUGCAUGCAUCAGUGUACCAUGUAUUGUGUAAAUAAAAGUGCAGCAACAACGUACAAUAUAAACUACCCAAAUACCUUGAAGUGUGGAUUCCAUCUCUGGCUCCUAAGGAUUUUAGGAUGGGUGGCACCAUCAGGGGCUCUGAUAAUCUCACCCCUCAACUCCCCAUCUACAUAAAGCACUUGUGCAAAGUACCUACUGACUCUAUGGAUCUCCUAAAAGUGUGAUGGAUCACCCUAAAUCUCUGGUCGUGUCCCACAAUGUGGAGGAAUAUGGCAACCUAUUCCUCAACACUAGUGUGUAUGCUAUCCUGUAGGAGGUGCCUCUCCCUAAACAGGUUAACCAACUGAAAGAAAGGAGCUUUACGCAUCCUUAGCAUGCUUACAGACUCAACAUCUAUGCAAUUAUAUAUCUUAUCUAGGUUUGCCUUCCUCUAAGAAUCGACCACUGCCCUAGGAACCCAAAUAGAGUUCUCUUCCUCAUCUGAAUCAAACCUGGCCCUCCUAAGCCUAGCGUACAGAAAUACAAUGCAUACAACAACAAGAACAACAACUUGUGAAGCCAUCCUGGCACGGUAGUCAUGCAACUCCAUCUACAUUAUGGCAUGUUAAUAAAUAAAUUUUAAAACUUGAGUACUGAAAUGGAAUUGAAGACAUCCUAAGGUGUGGCAGUAUACAGCAGCAUGUGUCGGGGAUAGAUCCCCAGUACCUGCAAGGAAGGAAGAAGACAAACUCCUACUAGGGUUUCUCUAUAAUGUUAUUAGGACUCAUACCAUGUAAUCCUAUUAGGACUCUUCCUUGUAACCGACUAGUAAUCCUCCCCUUGAGUAUAUAAAGGAGGACAGGGGUACCUAGAUCGGCAGCUUAGACCAACAUAGCUCAGAACCAUCAUCAAUAGCCAACAAUUAGGCUACACAACACCCAAACGCAGGGCACAAUAUACAACACCUUAAACAGGACAUAGGGUAUUAUCCUACUCUGGCGGCCCGAACCUGUAUAAAUCCGUGUCUUGUGUCCUCGCUUUUAUCAUCAAGUUCCAGAUCCAGCGAUCCCCCACUGAAGCGUCCCCACAUAAGUAGAGACUAAAUGUGUUGCAAAUAUCAGUCCCAGAAGUCUGAUAGCACAUUUAUUCAAUAGAUAAUUAAGUUACUGUACAACUCCCAGAGGAGUGGGCGUGAAAGCCACGCAGCGAUAAGAAGCAAAUAAAUAACAGCGGCUAACCAAGCGACUGUCAAAAGACAGCACUCGGGACUACACAGCAGCAGAAGCAUCUUGUGAAGGCCAACACCACAGACAGCGUUGGGUGCGGACACAACCUCCUACUCAAACUCCUCGGCGAUGAAGUCUGGGUCUUCCUCUGUAGCAACGAAGCAAGGGUGAGUACAAAAGUACUCAACAAGUCCAACCCCAUCCACGGAGGGGGAUACAAACAAGUAUAUGCAUAGGAUAUAACAAGGAUAGGCUAAGGUUCAUUUGCAGUAAAGCUAGAUUUUCAACACAUGCACGGGUUUAUUUUCUAAAAGAGUUUUGUAAAGCUUUUCUUUAGUAACCGAAACAUUGAGUGGGGUUGAUCCUACACAAAGGAUCCAAAUUUUAUUGCUAUCAGACUUCCCGUCUGCCAUAGCUCACGGCACAACUGCCGGACACUUCCAAAAUCCAACACACGCCAUGAAACCAUCCAUUCCCAAGUGCUAGUUAUGUGACCAAGCCGUAACUCGUCCAAUGCCAUGGACACGGCUACCCGGAUAGGUUUUAACUCUGCAGAGGUUGUACACUUUUCCCACAAGUAGGGUACCGCAGCACGAUCACCUUAGUGCCGGUGCGGAUCCUAACAAAGCGAUUACCCACCUUAGCUAAGACUGACUAGUCCACACGGAAGCACCCAAGGGGUUAACGACUCAUCCACGAGACCGUCACCGGGACCUAAGUCACCAAGAUCUUACUCCUUUUCCAUGGGCUCCCGUUGCUCACCAGCACACCCGAAGACUAACAGUCCAGCUAGUGGGAUUUAUGCUAAACCGUUGCCCAUACAACGGUCGAGUGAUUGCACGAUGGUUGAAUUAGGCAAGAUGACACAUCAACUCGGUCCUUAAUCAUGACAAGAUGGAUAUCUCCCAACUCUGCUCAACCACUAAGGUACGAGCACAACAUUCUGGCAUUUCACACAAGAAACACCCAUCCAUCUCAUCGACACAUUCCUUGCCUUUGAACCCGAAAACCCAUUUUUCCCAUUUGAACACACUCACGCAUUUAUUCUCCAAAUAAACCAUUGUAAUCAUGAUUGAAGUCGAGUGACGAAUUCCUAAGCAUUCUAGCAGUAGUUAUCAUCUAAAUAAAGCAAGUCAUAUUUAGAGAUAAACACAGGACAAUAAGGAAUGUUCGUAACAAUCAAGGGGUGGCUAUCCAACCAUGUCUUGCAAUAAAAUAAUAUGCAUUUUAUAAAAUAGGCCGAUAGGUUGUGUUUGAUGGUGGAUAAAUUUGGCCGAUGAGGUCUAUUCCCCACCCCCUGAACGGCCAUGGCUUGAUGAUGGGAUUCAUAGCCGACGCGAGUGCACGUUGGACAUCUCCAAACUUUUGACAUUCCUGACAACCCUUAUAAUAUUUGAAACAGUCUUCGAGGAUCGUAGGCCAAUAGUACCCGUUGUUCCUGAUCAUCCACUUCAUCUUAUGUGCCGAUUGGUGUGCUCCGCAUACCCCUUCAUGGAUCUCUCCCAUUAGAGUCUUGGCUUCUUCUGUCCCAAGGCAUUUAAGAAGGACCCCAUCGAUCGUUCGGUAGAACAGAUCAUCUUCGAGCAGCACGUACUUGGUGGCGUGAAAGCGUACUCGUCGCUCCACCUUUUUAGACGGAUCCUUCAGGUAAUCGGCAAUUUCUUUACGCCAAUCGUCGGCUGCAAGUUCUAAAGCCAUGGCGCCCAGAAUCGGCCGAUACCCAGAUGCGUGCUGGGCGAGUUUGUUUGCUUCCUCGUUGCGGUCUCUUGGAACAUGCUCGAUUACUGCCGAUUUGAAUUCUUUUAAAAGCUGUACGCAAUCUUCGUGAUAGAUUCUUAAUAUAUCAUCUUUGCACUCAGCCCUUCCGGUUAGUUGAUCCACAAUUAGCAUAGAAUCCCCGAAGAUCUCAACAGAAUCGGCCUUGACUUCUCUCAAUAAUUGUAAGCCUUUCAAUACAGCUCUGUACUCCGCUUGAUUGUUAGUGGCGGCGGUUUCUAUCGGCAGAGAAAAAUCAUAGCUUGCCCCCCGAGGCGAUAUGAGGACGAUGCCGAUUCCUGAUCCGACCCCGCAUGAUGACCCGUCAAAAAAUAAUUGCCAAGGCGCUAGUUCCACGAGGGCGAUCUCCGGUCCACAGUGCUGGGCGACGAAAUCGGCCAUGACUUGACCCUUGACGGCUUUUGCCGAUUCAUACCGUAGGUCAAAUUCUGAUAAAGCUAAGAUCCAUUUACCGAUUCGUCCUUUCAAUAUCGGCAGUGAUAGCAUGUAUUUCACUACAUCAUCUUUGCAUACGACUACGCAUUCUGCCGACAGUAGAUAGUGCCUGAGUUUGGUGCACGAGAAGUAAAGACACAAACACAAACGCUCUACCGGAGGAUAUCUUGUUUCGGCAUCCAGGAGUCUUCUACUGACGUAAUAAAUUACCCGUUCUUUGCCUUCAAACUCUUGGACUAGAGCCGACCCAAUAGCUUUUUCAUCGGCUGAUAAAUACAGUUUAAACGGCUUACCAGUUUGAGGGGGAACUAAGACUGGCGGCGAGACCAAGUACCGCUUAAUAUCCUCUAACGCCUGUUCUUCCCCCCAUACAAAUUCCUGGUCGGGCUUCAACUUCAGAAGUGGCGUGAACGCCUGGAGUCGUCCAGAUAGAUUAGAUAUAAACCUUCUGAUGAAGUUUACCUUGCCGAUUAGAGACUGUAGCUCAGUUUUGUUCUGUGGAGCAACGACUUUGUUGAUGGCCGCUAUGGUCUUCCGAUUGACUUCUAUACCUCGUUCGUGCACCAUGAAUCCUAAGAAUUGUCCGGCGGAGACGCCGAAAGCGCAUUUGUUGGGAUUCAUCUUAAGACCAUGCUGUUUGGUACACUCUAGCACCCUUCGCAAAUCGGCCAGGUGUUCCUCGUGGCUUUUGGACUUGACCACAACAUCAUCGAUGUAGAUCUCCACCAGGAGGCCAAUGAGUUUGUGAAAAAUGUAGUUCAUGGCCCUUUGAUAUGUAGCGCCAGCAUUCUUCAAGCCGAAAGUCAUCACCACCCACUCGAAUAAACCAAGAUGUCCCGGACACCUGAAAGCCGUUUUGGGUAUGUCUUCUUCGGCCAUAAGUAUUUGAUUGUAUCCGGCGUUUCCAUCCAUGAAGCUAAUAAUUUUGUGUCCCGCGGCGGCGUCGAUCAGUACAUCGGCCGUAGGCAUGGGGUAACCAUCCAUCGGUGUGGCCUGAUUAAGAUUCCUGAAAUCAACGCAAACGCGCAGCUUCCGUUUUUCUUGUACACUGGCACGAUAUUAGAAAUCCACUCGGCAUAACGACAUUACCGAAUAAAUUUUGCUUCAAUUAGCCGAGUUAUUUCAGCUUUUAUGUCUGGUAAAAUUUUAGGAUUGCAUCGCCGUGCGGGUUGUUGGUACGGCCGAUACCCUGGCUUUAUGGGUAGCCGAUGUUCAACAAUAGAUCGAUCUAAACCGGGCAUCUCGUGAUACUCCCAAGCAAAACAAUCCUUGAAUUCUCUUAAUAAAUUCGUCAAUUUACACUUAUACUCUGGGUCUAAAUUUGCACUAAUAAAAGUCGGCCUUGGUUUGGUCCCGUCACCUAAGUCUAUCAUCUCCAAUGAAUCGACCGACGUGAAUCCGUGCCCCAGCUUCCCGUCUUCUCGGGCGAACUGAUCCAUCUAUUCCAUCUCUUCGGAGCCGACUGCUCGGAUCGGCUGUAGGCCAAAAUCGGUGACCUUCAGGAAAUCGGUUUCCCACACCCUACCUGAUAUGCACCUGACGGUUUCGCAGCUCCAUUGCUAUGCGUCGGCUGUUGCGAUGCUGUACGCGGAGUCGGCUUUGACCACCUCGAUGUUAUCGCCGACCCAUUGUACGAGGCACUGAUGCAUAGUUGACGGGAUGCAGCAGUUUGCGUGUAUCCAGUCUCGGCCAAGAAGCAUAUUAUAGGACCCUUUGCCAUUAAUGACGAAAAACGUGGUAGGAAGGGUCUUACUGCCGAUGGUGAGGUCGACGCAGAGAGCACCGCGAGCGUUUGACACCUUGCCUUCGAAGUCUUUGAGCAUCAUGUCUGUCCUGGUUAGGUCGUCGUCGCUUUUCCCCAGCUUUCGGAGUACGGUAUACGGCAUGAUAUUGACGGCAGCUCCUCCGUCGACCAUCAAUCUAGUGAGGGGACGACCGUCAACAUGCCCUUUAAGGAACAAUGCCUUCAUGUGUUGUCGUUCGUCAUCUUCGGGUCUUUCGAACGUGGCCAUCAUUGGUUCUAAAGCCAACCGUGCUGUUUGUUCCUCUAUCGCCGAUACGUCCUGUUGAUCGGCAGGGGUCAUGAACUCCAUCGGCAAUAUGAAAACCAUACCGAUCUCGGCUGCCGAUUCAUCACCCGCCGACUCAUUGUUUCCCUUGUCGUUUCUUUUGGGGCGCCACACCCGAGGCCUCCCUUCCUUCCUGUCCAUCGCGCUUUCUUCUUCUUGCUGUUCCCAUUGGCGGAGGCGUUGGAUUCUUUGUUUUUGUGAUUUGGUUAAACCAUCGGGGCACCACCUGGGGUUUAUUGGCCUCCCUUCUUUCCCGGCGCGUUCCCAUUCCGGCUCGCGUCCUAACGGGUUCUCGUCCGUUACCCGAGCAUCGGCCAUGUCUUCGAGCCGGCUGUGAACGCUGGCUUUGCUAUUUGAUUGAUCAUGUCGAUCGGCCCUGCCCCCCUGCCUAUUAUGGCUUCUAUCUUCUGACCGAUCAUAUCGGUCGCUUCUGCCCCCCAGCCGAUUACGCAUGGGAGGGCGCUGAUCAUCUGGGUUGCGCCAAUUCCUGCUGAUCGGUUCUGGCCUUCCGUCUCUGGAGCGAGACCUGGUGAACGGUCGAUUGCCUCGAUAGGGACCGUUGCACUCCGGGCAAGUAUCGGCCGACGGUAGCCUGAGGUUAUUUUCCCAACAAUGAAUGAAGAAUGGGCAUCUCCAGUGCUCCUCGUGCCGACGCGUCGCUUCCUCUCGAGACCUCGAACGUUCAUAUUGGCGUUGGUACUUUUGGAGCAGGAACUGGGAAGUAAUACGUGGCCCUUCUGACUCACCAUCAUCGUCCUCCAUUCGUCGCUUUCCUUUGACGUCUUCAGACGUAACUUGAUUUCUGGGAUCGACAGCGCCACUCUUUCUGGCCGACUCGGACGUCAACACUUUUGUUUGGAGGGAAUUCUUUCCCGUAUCAACCAUAUUGGUAGAAAAGGGGUGUUGGUCGAUCUUCAUUGGUUUGGCCGAUUUUGCCGGCACUUCAAAUUUGAGUCUGCCUUGCUCAAUGGCCGACUGUAUUUGUUGCCUGAAGAUUUUGCACUCGUUGGUAUCAUGUGAUGUGGCAUUGUGCCACUUGCAAUACUUCAUUUUCUUCAAUUGUUCGGCAGAGGGUAUUGUAUGGUAAGGCGAGAGUUUAAUCUGCCCUUCCUGGAGUAGAAGAUCGAAGAUUUUAUCCGCUUUAGUUGUAUCGAAACCGAAUGCUUCCGGCUCCUUCUUGCCGAACGGGCAUGAUAUCGGCUUCUUUCCCUUAAUCCACUCUGCAAGUCCGAUUUCGGCAUCUUCCUCGUCCUCUACUUCCUCCAAGAAUGCUACUUUCUUCUGGAAAUUCCUUCUCGGAUCGAACGGACGCACUUCUUGUCCGGACAAUCGGUGAACAAUCUGGCUCAGGCUCUCGAAUUCUUGCAAGGCAUAUUUCUCUUUAAUGUGUGGCAAAAGGCCUUGGAAAGCUAUAUCGGCCAAUUGCGCAUCGGUCAGAGCCAGGGAGUAGCAUUUGUUUCUGAUUUCCCGAAACCUCUGUAUAUACGAGGGUAUCGGCUUAUCACUUCUUUGCCGAAGGCUAGUCAAAUCGGACAGCUUCAUUUCAUGGACCCCAGCAUAGAAGUAUUUGUGGAAUUGUCUUUCUAGAUCGGCCCAUGUAAUAAUUGAGUUUGGUGGUAGAGUCGUGAACCAUUGAAAGGCCGAUCCAGACAAGGAUGACGAGAAUAACCGUACCCGCAGGGCAUCUUGCGUAGCUGCCUCCCCGCAUUGGAUGAUGAAUCUAUUCACAUGCUCUACGGUAGAAGUGUCAUCCAUCCCCGAAAACUUGGUAAAAUCAGGGACCUUGUACCGAUGGGGAAACGGCAACAAGUCAUAUGUAGAUGGGUAGGGUGUUCUAUAGGUAUAAGUUUGCACUUUCGGCUUCAAGCCGAAUUGUUCUUGCAUUACCUCUGCAAUUUGCGCCGACCAAUCUGGUUGUGGCUGGCGAACAAUUGGCGGCGGUAUCGGCACGUGCUGAUAAAUCGGAGGCUGAAUAAAAGGAGGUUGAUGAAAAGGUGGUAUCUGAGUAUAAGCCGGUGGUGUAGUAAAGGACGGCUGCUUGUAUGAACCACUUGUUUCAUCAUAUAGCAUGAGUUCUGACGUCUUGUUGACCUCCGGAGCGAUAGGCUGGUAUGGUGGUAUGAUCGGCCGAGUGGCCGUUUGGGAGGGUGUCUGGAACGGAGGAUUUCCUUGACUGACCGAUUGAUUCAAACCGGUCGUAUUUAAGGGUGUCCCCCAGGGUAAAGGGAUGACUGGAGGGAGCGGUGCAGAGGACAGUUGGAUAGAACCAUAUCCCAAAGGAGUUGAUGACGCAGAAGCACCGGAUCCUCCGACAGAAGAUUGGAUCGGCUGUGAAGCCUGAUAAGCCUGAUUUGGUGGAAUCGGCUGAAAAUACGUUGGUCCCUUGUACCCUUGAGGUAUACCUCCGGCGAAGGAGUUGACAACAGCAUUGUGCACCAUGUUUGAAAGUACCGGGGAUUGAUUGAUGAAGGCGUGAUGAAGAGAUUGUUGAAUCAUAUCGGACAUUUUAUCCGAAUCUUCAGAAAUUGUGAUCUGACGGGGGGUAGGGAAAGGAGUUUUUUUAACCGUCUCCCCGCUCCUGGAACGACUGAAGGAUUUCAAGCAAGUUUUCCGGACUUGCUCCAAAUAAUUAUUCAGAUCUUCCUUUUGGUCGUCCUUUAGAUCUGCUUCCGUCACUUCGAUGACGUUUUCUUCGGAGACUUCAGCAGCUUUCGACAUGAUAGCGGUUGUAUUGGUCCCACCAGGCGUGCCAAAAGUGUGUUGGCGCUAGAAAUCGGUUAACCGAAUCCCGGCGACCGACACACGACCCGGGAGAAUCUGCUUAGCUCCUGUUCGGGUGAAUGCCCUAGUGCGGUUCACGCGGCGUGCCAGCCAAUCUGACCUGUUGAUUGGCAAGGAAAAACACGUGUCAGGUUCAGAAACUACGAUCGGCUGAGUUUCCGAUCGAGAGAGCUUAUCGGCGAAUCGGCCGAUUUACUGUGAUAAUGAAAUCGGCUAUAAGACAGCACGAUCCCUGUAGCCUUGUAGACAGAAAAAUACUAAAGUAAUCGGUACAAAGCUUGUGAUAACAACACUAGGAAAAGAUCUAAUCGGCAACGAAUGGAUCUAACAACGGAAAGUAAUGAAAGCCGAUACUACCGAUUCCUAGCGGGAUAACUGGUGAUAAAAACUAGGAAAACAGGUAAAAACCUAUGAAUCUAGUUGAUAUCGAUAACUGAUGAAUAAAUCUAAACGAAACAACAGCGAUGCGCCGGAAGUUAAAGCUUAGAUAUUACUCGAUAAACGGAACUUACAGAAUCGGCCGGAGAUCAAGAUGAUGCAGCCCUGCCAACCCGCACGAACUCGUGAGAAGAAAAAGUAAUGGCGAAGUCGCCUGCUCGAAAGUAAGUACGAAGAAGAAAGUAACUUGUUGUAUUGAUUGAUUGUCGUGUUUACAGAUUUACAAAGGUAGCUAUUUAUAGCCCCGUACAGAUAACUUCUUAACCGACUAGAAUUCUAUCUCUAAUUCAAACAGAAAACAAAUAUCUACAAGCACAAUUCGUACUAGGUUAGCUACCCCACGAUUCGUGGGCUGAUCUCCACCUUAUCCUUCCACCCCUUUCCAAGCCCAUACAGGCCCAAUUAGUCCAUCCUCCUAAUCGGCCGAUUUCUCAUCGGCAAAGGAUUGCCGAUUGGGAGUCUGGCGCAUUCUCCCUGAAGCGAAGCAAAAGCUGCCAGCCGAUUCCUCAUUAUAACACCAUUUGACCGAUUCCCAACUGUACUUCUUCGAUUUCUUUUCUUCUUGACGCCGAUUCUAUUGGUGACGAAAUCCGGCGUCAACAGGGCGUUACACCCACCAACCAAUGUACUACCUCAGGAUACCCUCGGUAGGUUGCUGGGUAUAAAACACCGACACCAUGGCAACAGAGGGGUCAUUGCCUUGGCUGCUACCAAAGUAGCCUCCCAGAGGCUCCUCCUCAACACAUCAUUGACCAAAAACACCCAACAAAUAAGUGAAUAGGUCCAACAGGUAUCACUGCCUUGGCUACUACCAAAGUAGCCCCCCAGAGGCUCCUCCUAAACACAUCAUCCCCCAAAACCAGCCAGCAUACAAGGAAACAAGUCCAAUAUGUAUCAUUGCCCCGGCAGCUACGAAAAGUAACCUCCCAGAGGCUCCUCAUCAACGUCAUCGAACAAAGAAAAUCCCACAACAACAUCAUUGCCACGGUUGCUACCCAAGGUAGCCUCCCAGAGGCUCAUUAUUUCAUAGAACAACCAUAUUAGCCUCGAGCAGGCUCCUUGUCAGCAACACAAACCGACAUUAGAGACAGGUUCAUGGCAACAAGUCCACAUCCAUGCGGUAACUACACAUGAAUUGUAAAUAACCUCAUGAAUCGACUGUAGACAACAAGCCAAGGCAUAGAAGCCAGAACAUUGCAGCAAAUAGACAUGCAGAUUUGGCGAGGAUACCCCACUAAUCACACAAAGAAACCGUAAUAUCAGAUCCACUCCAUGGGAACCCUAACCCGAGGGAUUCCACCCAACAAAUCGUAAAAGAUCGAACAACAAUAUGAAAACUCCACCGUAGGAGACCCUACCCCAUCGCAAACAAGACGAACCUCCACCCUAACUGUAAGAGGAUAGUGGAUUCGGGCAAUACCUACACGAAGAUGAAGACAACUAUCGUGGGGAAGAUGAGGAAGUAGCGUGUGCUAGUGGACAAGCCGAGGGACGCCUAGAACAGCAAGUAGAUGAGGCAUAUCUGCUUGGUGGAGAGGAAGAAGCAGGUCACACCGGGGAUAAAGAUGUUGCUCAAGUUGCCGGGGAUGAAAAGAUAGCAGAUCUGCUCGGUGACAAAGACGAAGCACAGAUCCAAUGUUCGUUGCUGACGGAGACCCAGCGCUUGCCGGUGAAGAAGUACGCGCGGCCGCCGUUGCAGGCGACCAUGGACACCUCCGGAUCAGGCGUCCCGCAACCAGCCGUGCCGUCGCCUCCGCCCUAAAGUCGCCGGGAUGAGAUGAGAGGAGUGGAGGAGUUGAGUGCAAAAGGGAGACAGGAGAGAGGAGUGGAGGAGUUGGUGGAGGCGGCGCGUCUGCGAGGGAAGAGGGCGACACGCCCGGGAGGCCACCACUAUAUACCGGCGGUGGUAACCCUAGUUGGCCCAAAUUAUGGUGCCAGGCCACGUCUAUCUCCCGACUUCCCUCCGCAUGCGUGAAAACACGCUCGCACGGGCUUGCACCGCAUAAAACGAUCGAUUUUUGCGUUCCACAUGAUGCAGGCUGGCAGGUCAUUUUUGCACCGCAUGAGUCUAGUCCGGAAGACCGACCAAGCUAGUAAACACAGCUGGUUACACCAGCUGGAUCUGGCCCAAUCUCAGCCGCGGCGUCCCAGCUCACACAGCUGCGUGGUGAGCACAAAGCCAACUAUUCUUUCAAAAGAGUACCGUGCGCUCGCCACACAAAGCAGCAUACGCUUGUUUUUGGAGGGUACCCUCUCUCGCGAGUGGGUGCACAACAAUUCAAACUUAAAUUUUCUUCCGCGUUUAAAAUUCGGACUCUUUUUUAGUCAUAGCUCGUGAAGUUCUACACUGCUCUGUUUUUGGCUUCUUGCAGCAGCAGCAUCUUUGAUGUUUUUGUCACUCACGGGACGUCUGUUAUUUGUCUUCUCAUCACAAUAGUUUUUCUUGCUGUUCAGUUUUGGCAUCUGCGCUGCGAUGUUUUCGUUGUCGCUUUUGCGGAUGGGCGUGAUGACUCAGCUUACGUGCACGAAGAGUGCGUCUGGGUUUAGCAGAGGACGAGACGCUGAAGCCUCUGGUUGAGCAGAGACGGUCAAACAGGGAACUGGGCAGCACAGCAUGGGCACAGGUCGGAUGCAUAUCCUCACGGGUCUGGAUCUCGGGACCAUCUGUCGCGUCACUUAUCCAAAUCAAGCGACGCAAACGUUUCGGUACCUUCGUUCAGUAGCAUGAUGCAGCCAUUUAGGCAUGUUUUAUGUUUGGUUACCCAAAGUACGUGACAUUUAUUGUGUUGUUUGGUGGAGAAGGGACUGCACGCAGCAUGUGGCACAAUUUGAACUACAUUUUUAGUCUACGCGAGAAAAUAUUGAUCUACAGGUCACAUGCAUGAGCACAAGGUUAACUCAUCAGUGUCCCUGCUUGAGGAUUUGUAAGGUAUACUACUGUUUAAAAUAUAAGAGAUUUAGUUUGUGUAAGUGAAACUCGUCUAAUUUUAUCUAAGCAAAGUUAAAAAAAAUUGACUGCGGAUAAAACUAUAAUCCCAUUGGAACGGAGGGAGUAGCAAUGUAACAAACUAAAAUCAGUAUCUCAUUUCUGCCAUAAGCCCUAGCUCAAACUUGGCAUGUCACGACUAUAGUUUCAUCACUUGCAAGACAUUUGCUUGAGCAUUGUAAGAGGAUCUGGCCUCUGAGGUGUCUAAAAUAGUAAAAUCUAAAACUAAUUAUAGGUAUGAAAAUAUCACCCGUAAGAAACAUCAUUAUUAGAUUCAUUUCUAGUCGUGGUAGGUGGAUGAAAGCCCCCAACAACAACAAGGCGUCAUUACUUAUUGGAACCAUAAUACCAUAUCCAUUGUAAACUAGCUAAGUAUUGGAAACUUGAAAACUCUAUCAAAAGUCGUAAUUAAGAUAUUUCAAAAAAUUUGAAAAACUAACUCACCGUUCCCGCGCAAAUUUUUACGGCCAAACUCCAUCCCAUCCAUGAGAUGCAAAAACACACAAAUGUCAAACAUAUAUGCACAAAGGACAAAAAUAACAUACUUUAUUAUUUUUCUUUUAAACCCAAAUUUACCCUUUUCAUCUUCCAAAUCAUGUUGAGUUUGAAUUUGAAAGUUUAUAUGGCUCAUCUUUGAGAUGGUGAGUUCUUCAAGAUUUUAUAGAACUUCCUUAUAUGGGUUUUAACGAGGGUUUUAACACACAUGACAAGUAUGUACAUCUUCAGCCACUUCGUGUGAAUUGAUUGUACUUACCUUAUGCACUCAUUUAUUACACAAAACCUACCUAUUGCGCAUUAUCGAAUCUACUCCAUUCGUCCCAUGAAACAAGUCACC
rnacentral:lncRNA from 1 species